AAUCAACAUUGCUUAACUGAAGAAUCACGAUAAUAAAUCACAGUGCAUUAAGUGCCCACCAUAGUCUUAAGACCUGUGUUUAACGUGCCCAAGCCCAUACUUUUGAGAGCACCAUGUGAGCACCUGUGUGUGUACACGCGCUUGUUUAUUUAAGGUUUUUCUAUAGGAGCGCCCAACAGAGAGUGUGAGGGACCACAGAUCCGCCCCCCAAAGAUGCGCAGGAGAUGGGGGAGCUCCAAGUCCCAGAGAUCCAGGCGCUGCCCCAGAACGCAGGAACCCCAAGGAGACUGCAACCAGGAAGGCCCCCGCCCCCCUCGAGAGGCACAGAGGAUCGUCCCGGGGGGCCACAACCAGCAGCCGGCAGAGUCCCUGGAGAUAUCAGCGGAAAGCCCACAGGCCCGCCCGCAGCCUCCCACCCCCUAGCCGGCCGAGCCCGGGACCCAGCGACCCGGGACCCAGGGGCGACCACCCCCGCCGGGGACCCAGCAGAGCCCAGGGACCCAGACCCCACCAGGCAGCCACCGGGAUCUAACAGGCAGAUGCCAAAAUCUUAAACCCCCAGACCAGGUUGCCACGAACACUCAGGCAGACCAAGGCACAAGCCCCCACACCAGGUGUGGCAGGGGGAGGGGGGACAGAGAUCUAUAUCAUCAAGAGAAGUUCCAGGAGAGGGGAGGACCCAAAGGCCCCACCUGACAUAUACAGUCAUACACAAACACAGUCACACGCUCCCUCCCUCAUGCUCACACAUGCACAUACAACCCAAGACUUACAAAAAUGCAUGCCGGACACCCACUCAUGCUCCCCAUACACACCCUAUUCACUCUGGUCCCGGUACUGCUGCACAUUGGGUACAACCAUCACCGAUAACCAGAGUUUGACCUUUUCAAGACCGGGUUUCUUAAGAAGGGGUUAGGCUGCACAAUUAUGGCAAAAAUGAUAACCACGAUUAUUUUUAACGAAACUGAUAUCUCGAUUAUUUAACACGAUUAUUCAGUAACUUUGAUUAAAGUCAUUUAUUGAACAUAACAUUGACUUUUUAACAUUUAUCAUCUGUAGCUUUACAGACAUUUAGCAAAACUGACUUAAUUCUCCCAAACUAAAUGUGUAACUUUGUGUUAAGUGCAACAACAACUGAAAUGUACAAAAACACACUGUAUUAAAAUAGAAUAUAUAUAAAGAACAUUUUGCCAUGAACUUCCACAACCUACUCAAACUACUUUCAAUAGUAAAAAAAAAAAAAGAAAUGUAAAAGCUAUUUAUUUUCAAUCAUCCUUCAUCUAUCAAGGUCAAACAUCACACGUUAUUUUGAGGUAUGUAAAUCUUAGUGUGUGGUACCUGGAAAAAAAAUCCAGUAAGGCACCACUGAUUGUAAACAAUACUGUAUACAUAAAAAAGGACUCAAAUAGUAACUUUGUCUUGAAAUAUAAAAUAUAAAGUGCAACAACAACUGAAAAGUGCACAGUGUAUGAAAAUAGAAAAAAUAGAAAAAACAUUUAGCCAUGAAAUUAACUCCAUGACUUAAACUACUGAUCUUUAAAAACUAAAAUAGAAAACAAAUGUGCAUGCUCAAGUUCUUUACUUUUACACUUUCUUUAUGACAACCCAGGGUCCAGACCAGGAAGUAGAGUCGUAGUUUAACCCACCUCUCUGUAGCUUCUGUACUGUUACCCACGCACUACCCCAUAGAGACAGUGUCCUGCCCACGGCCAAAAUCACACAGAUUAAAUAUCAGGCUUAAUAAAGCAAAUCAUGGAAAUCUCAUAAAUAUUAGAACAAAUUCAACUGAGCAGAAAACUAGAAAAAUUAAAUGUGGGUUGUUGAACAUUAGAUCCAUUUUUUCUACGACUUUGUUAGUUAAUGAGUUGAUUUGUGAUAAUCAGAUCUCUUUGCUCUCUCUCACAGAAUCCUGGCUGCAGCAAGAGGACUAUGUUAGCUUAAACGAGUCGACUCCUUCAAAUUAUUUAAAUCAUCAUAUUGCUCGAAGUACAGGGUGAGGAGGAGGAGUGGCAACCAUUUUUCAUUCGGACUUAUUAAUCAGUCCCUUACAGAUUAAUAGUUACAGUUCGUUUGAAUCUAAUCCAAAUUGCAAAACUGUAAAACCACUCUUGUUUGUAGUUUUUUAUCGUCCACCAGGCCCUUACUCUGAGUUUUUGGAUCAGAUCUCUGAUUUUUUAUCUGAUUUGGUGCUAAAUACUGAUAAGGUCAUUGUAGUGGGGGAUUUUAAUAUUCAUGUGGACAUUGAAAAUGAUAGCCUCAAUGUAGCCUUUAGUAAUAUCUUAGACUCAAUUGGUUUUACUCAAAGAAUACAUAGGUCCACCCACUCCUGCCAUCAUACAUUGGACCUUGUGCUGACUUAUGGCAUUGAGUGUGAGGAAAUAACAAUCUUUCCACAUAAUCCAGUCAUCUCGGACCACUUUCUGAUAACCUUUGAGUUUUUUAUAACUGAGUUCUCGAGACACGAAAGUAAAUUUCACUAUAGUCGGUCUCUAUCUGACAACGCAGUUGCAUCUUUUAAAUCAACUGUUCCAUCUUUACUGUCCUCAGCAUCUCAGAGGCAUGUAACAGAGGGCAAUAUUUUCAGUUCUAGCCCCUCACAAAUUGAUGCCUUAGUUAAUUCCUCUUUACGUGUGGCAUUAGAUUACAUAUGUCAGAGUCAAGGCCCGCGGGCCAGAUGCGGCCCGCGGAGCAUUUUUAUGUGGCCCGCGAGAUAAAUAUCAAAAAUAUAUUAAACCUGGCCCGCUGGCCGAUUUUACCGCAAAGACUUCAACUCCCAUGAUGCUUUGCGGCGUCAGCGUGGAGCCGACGAAGCCCCCUCCUUUGUGUUUUUUCAGCGCCUGCUGCCGGUGUUAUGCCAUAAAUCGACUCGCUGCCAAAAAAUGAUUAGCCACCGCGGGAUCGCGCACGGUUAGGGCAAUUGCAUUUCUAGACGAAAUUCCCCAGGAUUUCGCCCUAAAACUCGGCAUAUCUAGCAAUAUGGACAUUCAGAAAGCAGAGGUAACCUCUUCCGGUACUUAAACAGAUGUUUAUCGCGGAUAUUAGUUUUUCCAGUUGGGAAGUUGUUUUAAGUGUUGCUAUUGUCUUAAACGUUCACAAUGAGGAUAUAUUAAUCCUUUUUGCAAUAUUUGCGAUUGAAAGACGGAUUGUGAUAAGAACUGGCUUUCUUUAUGUUACAGCCUUGAUACUAAAAAAUAAAUAAAAAAAUGUAAAAUGGCGCCCUGUAUUGAAUGUAAACGCUGUAUAAAUGGAAAUAAACAAUUCUCCAGCGAUUUGAUUUAUCCCCCCUUCCUUCUUUAGUCCACUUGACAUGGAGCCACGGUUCACUAGUUUGGGGCACAUUUUUACUUGAAAAAUAGUAUUUAAACUGAUCAAGCUUUGGCUUUAAUGACACUGUGUAGGUUACUAUCUAUUCAUUACGUUGCUCUAUUUAAAAGUAACAAGAUAAAAUCACUUCAGCACAUAAAAUUAAGAUUGUCACUUGCCAAAUAGAGACUGCACCCUCCUGUUUACCUAUAAGAAACGCCUCAUAAUAUCUUUAAAUUCUUUAUUGAUGAUUUAAUUGUAGACAACUAAAAUGGCAUUUUACUUGCCAAAAAGUUUGCAGCCGCAAACGAAACAUUUCAGGUAAAUCAAACCUUUCUGUGUUGUAAAAAGAACUAAAAGAUGGAAUUGUUGUUUUAUCCUUGUUCACAGGCUGGGAUUCUAAAGGGAAAUUCCAUCCUACUUGUGUGGCUGAAGGACAUCGUCAACCAAUUUUGGUACAUUUGCCAGAAAGCACAACAUCGUGAUAUGUUUAAUGACAUGUGGGUGGUCUGUGAUAAAGAGCUCAUGGUGCCAGGAUCACCACCACACGAGGCUCUUCAAUGAAUCAUGUUCAACAGACGCUGGUUGAAGGAUGUCACCAAGUAUCUGACCUUUAGGUCAACUUCGGAACUGGAGAGUUUCCAGAAUUACAUUCUCAUGUAUGCUGGAAAAAGGUUUGCCUUCUCUCCUCCUGUCUACGAAGCCAGGUGCCUUCUUGCUGCGUUGGAUUACAACCACCACAACCACCGACCAGAUUAUAUAACCCGGAAAAAUUAGAAAUACAAGCGACUCUACAGCAAAAAGUCACAAAAUUACCGCGUACAAGUGGUCAAGGUUGCCAAAGACUACAGCUACAUCCCUGAACUUCAGCGUUGCAUCCUCAGAAAACGUAUGGAUGGAGGGGCGCCCCCAAGAAAGGCAAAACGCAACCCCGAUGACCCAAGAAAUCUUGGGAAUUUAACUGGUCCAGACACAAAUUCGCAGAGGACAGGCCCCAGCUACGUGAAGCAUCAAAAGACAGGAAUGACUUCUUUCAUGCACACUGAUUUAUUAGAAAUUAAGAGAAAAAAAAA